rnacentral:rRNA from 1 species
GACGUAGGGCGCGAGCGUUGUCCGGAUUUAUUGGGCGUAAAGAGCUCGUAGGCGGCUUGUUGCGUCGUCCGUGAAAACCUGGGGCUCAACUCCAGGCUUGCGGUCGAUACGGGCAGGCUAGAGUUCGGUAGGGGAGACUGGAAUUCCUGGUGUAGCGGUGAAAUGCGCAGAUAUCAGGAAGAACACCCGUGGCGAAGGCGGCUCUCUGGGACGGUACUGACGCUGAGACGCGAAAGCGUGGGGAGCGAACAGG